UAGGAAGUAGUAUAGUGGGAGUACGGAGAGUUUUGGUCUCUUUGGUGUGGGUUCGAGUCCCAUUUUUCU
rnacentral:tRNA from 6 species